rnacentral:rRNA from 1 species
UACGGAGGAUGCAAGCGUUAUCCGGAAUCAUUGGGCGUAAAGCGUCCGCAGGUGGCAUUUCAAGUCUGCUGUCAAAGGUCGGGGCUUAACUCCGAACAGGCAGUGGAAACUGAGAAGCUAGAGUAUGGUAGGGGCAGAGGGAAUUCCUGGUGUAGCGGUGAAAUGCGUAGAGAUCAGGAAGAACACCGGUGGCGAAAGCGCUCUGUUAGGCCAUAACUGACGCUCAGGGACGAAAGCUAGGGGAGCGAAUGGG